rnacentral:rRNA from 1 species
UGGGGAAUUUUGGACAAUGGGCGCAAGCCUGAUCCAGCCAUGCCGCGUGUGUGAAGAAGGCCUUCGGGUUGUAAAGCACUUUCGGCCGGAACGAAAUCGCCUACGUUAAUAGCGGAGGUGGAUGACGGUACCGGAAGAAGAAGCACCGGCUAACUACGUGCCAGCAGCCGCGGUAAUACGUAGGGUGCGAGCGUUAAUCGGAAUUACUGGGCGUAAAGGGUGCGCAGGCGGCGUCGCAAGUCAGGCGUGAAAUCCCCGGGCUUAACCUGGGAACUGCACUUGAAACUACGAUGCUGGAGUAUGGCAGAGGGAGGUGGAAUUCCACGUGUAGCGGUGAAAUGCGUAGAGAUGUGGAGGAACACCGAUGGCGAAGGCAGCCUCCUGGGCCAAUACUGACGCUCAUGCACGAAAGCGUGGGGAGCAAACAG